rnacentral:rRNA from 1 species
CAGCAGCCACGGGAAUACGUAGGUGGCAAGCGUUGUCCGGAAUUAUUGGGCGUAAAGGGCUCGCAGGCGGUUUCUUAAGUCUGAUGUGAAAGCCCCCGGCUCAACCGGGGAGGGUCGUUGGAAACUGGGAAACUUGAGUGCAGAAGAGGAGAGUGGAAUUCCACGUGUAGCGGUGAAAUGCGUAGAGAUGUGGAGGAACACCAGUGGCGAAGGCGACUCUCUGGUCUGUAACUGACGCUGAGGAGCGAAAGCGUGGGGAGCGAACAGGAUUAGAUACCCCUGUAGUCCCUGUCUCUUAUAA